GCUGAAGAAGACGGAGACCAGAGUGAAGAACCCAUUGCCAACCAAAGAAAGUGAGUGAAUCUUGUCCAUCUAUCUCUGUGAUGAAUCUGCUUGAGCAAUCGACCAAGAGAGGAAACGAGAGCCAUCGCCUUGACCAGAGGAAGAGAAGUGUUUCCGACCAGCUACUUUAAUUUGAUUCUCUGACCUCCAUCUGUCAAGAACCAUAACUAUGAAGGGAGAACAGGACCUAGACUUUUAUCACACUGGUGCUCAACGAAAUUGUAAAAUGAGGGGUAUUAGGAUUGGUUGCUAGUCAGAGGAUGUUUUCGAAACACUUAUUGCUCAAUGUUUUGUAUGUCUCCAAGUCAGAGUAAUAAAAUAUGACAAAAAUA